rnacentral:snRNA from 1 species
UGCUGGCUUUGGCAACACGGACACUAAAAUUGGAAGAAGGCAGAGACCAGCCUGACCCGUGCACAAGAUGAUGCAAGCUUAUAAAGUGCUCCAUGUUU